rnacentral:rRNA from 1 species
CAGUUCGGAUUGUAGUCUGCAACUCGACUACAUGAAGCUGGAAUCGCUAGUAAUCGCGAAUCAGAAUGUCGCGGUGAAUACGUUCCCGGGUCUUGUACACACCGCCCGUCACACCAUGGGAGUUGGAAAUGCCCGAAGUCAGUGACCCAACCGUAAGGAGGGAGCUGCCGAAGGUGGAGCCGAUAACUGGGGUGAAGUCGUAACAAGGUAGCCGUAUCGGAAGGUGCGGCU